GAUGAACGCGGCGGCGUGCUUAACACAUGCAAGUCGAACGAAGCUGCUUAAAGGAAGUCUUCGGAUAGAAUUUAGGUAGACUUAGUGGCGGACGGGUGAGUAACGCGUGGAUAACCUGCCUUAUACAGGGGGAUAACGGAGAGAAAUUUCCGCUAAGACCGCAUAAGACCACAGCACCGCAUGGUGCAGGGGUAAAAUAUUCAUAGGUAUAAGAUGGAUCCGCGUCCGAUUAGCUAGUUGGUGAGGUAAAGGCCCACCAAGGCGACGAUCGGUAGCCGGCCUGAGAGGGUGAACGGCCACAUUGGGACUGAGACACGGCCCAAACUCCUACGGGAGGCAGCAGUGGGGAAUAUUGGACAAUGGGGGAAACCCUGAUCCAGCGACGCCGCGUGAGUGAAGAAGUAUUUCGGUAUGUAAAGCUCUAUCAGCAGGGAAGAAAAUGACGGUACCUGACUAAGAAGCCCCGGCUAACUACGUGCCAGCAGCCGCGGUAAUACGUAGGGGGCAAGCGUUAUCCGGAUUUACUGGGUGUAAAGGGAGCGCAGACGGCAAUGCAAGUCUGAAGUGAAAGGCGUGGGCUCAACCCAUGAACUGCUUUGGAAACUGUAUAGCUUGAGUGUCGGAGGGGUAAGCGGAAUUCCUAGUGUAGCGGUGAAAUGCGUAGAUAUUAGGAGGAACACCGGAGGCGAAGGCGGCUUACUGGACGACAACUGACGUUGAGGCUCGAAGGCGUGGGGAGCAAACAGG
rnacentral:rRNA from 1 species